rnacentral:rRNA from 1 species
UACGGAGGGUGCAAGCGUUGUCCGGAUUUAUUGGGUUUAAAGGGUGCGUAGGCGGUUAACUAAGUCAGUGGUGAAAGGCAGCGGCUUAACUGUUAGCACUGCCAUUGAUACUGGUUGACUUGAGUACAGACGAGGUAGGCGGAAUUUAUGGUGUAGCGGUGAAAUGCAUAGAUACCAUAAAGAACACCGAUUGCGAAGGCAGCUUACUAGACUGUAACUGACGCUGAGGCACGAAAGCGUGGGGAUCGAACAGG